GACGCGGCGGGCUUUGCGCGUGCGCGCGGGGGCACACGCCGCCGACCGGGCGAGCCACGCAGCGAGCGACCCGAGACCGUCCGCCGAGGAGACAAGCAAGCUAUCAUGUUAUAAACAGCCCUUUGAGGGGUUCAUGUGAUGUCAAAGAAUGAAGUCUCUGGCCAAUUUUUAAUGAGGUCUUGAGGCCCAUCGACAAUCUUGAGUGAGCUCGGAAGUAGCUCCUUCAGCAUCACUUGGGUGUUGAGAUGACUACUGACAGCUUCACUGCAAUCUCAUGAGAGUCUUCUGAACCAGAACCACUCAGGUACCAGUUGAAUGAAGAGAAGUACACCUCCUCCCCAGAACAGUACCGCAGCUAUGAUAUAACGCCUGGGCAGGGUUCGCAGUAGCAGCCAGGCCAUAAUGUAAGCUGGAACUUCAAUCAAGGCAGAGAGGAAACAGUUCAGGUAGGCAUCUCCAUGUAAAUUAGGAGCA